UGAAUACGAGAUGCUACGGCGUCGAAGCAGUCUAUGUCAUACUUCCAAGAAAAGCUCGCACUGUCAUAAACAAAUAAUGCCUGUACCAUAACCGACACAGGUGGGUAGGUAGAGUAUACUAAGGGGCGCGAGAUAACUCUCUCUAAGGAACUCGGCAAAAUGACUCCGUAACUUCGGGAGAAGGAGUGCCUUAUUUAUAAGGUUGCAAUAACAAGAUCCAAGCAACUGUUUAUCAAAAACACAGGUCUCCGCUAAGUCGUAAGACGAUGUAUGGGGGCUGACGCCUGCCCAGUGCCAGAAGGUUAAAGAAGUUGGUUAGCAUUCGCGAAGCUGAUAACUGAAGCCCUGGUGAACGGCGGCCGUAACUAUAACGGUCCUAAGGUAGCGAAAUUCCUUGUCGGGUAAGUUCCGACCCGCACGAAAGGCGUAAUGAUUUGGAUACUGUCUCGGAGAGGGGCUCGGUGAAAUAGACUUGUCUGUGAAGAUGCGGACUACCUGCACCAGGACAGAAAGACCCUAUGAAGCUUUACUGUAACUUGAGAUUGAAAUUGGACUUUACUUGCGCAGUAUAGGUGGGAGGCGUUGAUAAUAUUCUUGCGGGAUUAUUUGAGCCAUCAGUGAGAUACCACUCUUGUAAUGUUAGAUUUCUAACUUUGUAUCAUUAUCUGGUCAAAGGACAGUUUCAGGCGGGCAGUUUGACUGGGGCGGUCGCCUCCUAAACGGUAACGGAGGCGCACAAAGGUUUCCUCUGAACGGGUAGAAAUCGUAUCUAGAGUGUAAAGGCAUAAGGAAGCUUGACUGUGAGACCUACAAGUCGAGCAGGGACGAAAGUCGGUCUUAGUGAUCUGACGGUGCUGAGUGGAAAGGCCGUCACUCAACGGAUAAAAGUUACUCUAGGAUAACAGGCUGAUCUCCCCCAAGAGUUCACAUCGACGGGGAGGUUUGGCACCUCGAUGUCGGCUCAUCGCAUCCUGGGGCGGUAGUACGUCCCAAGGGUUGGGCUGUUCGCCCAUGAAAGCGGUACGCGAGCUGGGUUCAGAACGUCGUGAGACAGUUCGGUCCAUAUCCGGUGUAGGCGUUAGAAUAUUGAGAGGAGCCUUCUUUAGUACUAGAGGACCGAGAAGGACAUACCUCUGGUGUACCAGUUAUCGUGCCAACGGUAAACGCUGGGUAGCUAUGUAUGGAGUGGAUAACCGCUGAAAGCAUCUAAGUGGGAAGCCCACCUCAAGAUAAGUAUUCUCAC
rnacentral:rRNA from 1 species